ACCUCAGCGACCCGCUGCACACCACCAUCUUCGACACCUUGGGCUCCUCUUAAGUGGUCGGUGGUCGAGCAAUUUCUGUCAGCUCGGCUGCAAAAUGGACGAACGCGCGUCCGUGUAACGAACGUGCUUUUCGUUUUGUAUAUGACGAGUGAUGGAUGAGAGGGUAUCGCAAAGAUCCUUUGUUGAGUAAUGCAGGUCUGAUCACAUAGGAGAGCUGCUGGGACUUGGUGAUUUGUAAAAUAUGAACCAAUGGUGACUUAAUGCAUCCACUUGUACAUCAAUCUUGAGCUCAUCUUUUGUUUCGUUUUUUCGAUUACAAAGAUAGCAUCCACGCAAGUGCAAUCACACUACAGAAUUGACCGGGACCGCCCUGCCACACUGCC
rnacentral:lncRNA from 1 species